GAUGAACGCUGGCGGCGUGCCUAACACAUGCAAGUCGAGCGGAAAGACGCUGCGCUUGCUCCGUUGUCGAUAGCCGAACGCGUGUGUGUAACACGUGGAUCACCUCCCUAUCUGUCUGGUAUCACUACGGGACUCCGGCGCUAAUCCCAUAUAAUAUCUUGAUCCGUAUUGUUCAAUAGUGAAAUACGGCUUUUCUGUCACUACUCGCUGCUUCUGCGCUGCAUUAGCUAGUUGUUAAGGUAACGGGCUACCAAGGCAACGAUGCGUAGCCGAGCUGAGAGGGUGAUCGGCCACACUGGAACGGAGACACGGUCCAGACUCCUACGGGAGGCAGCAGUAGGGAAUGUUCCGCAAUGGGCGAAAGCCUGACGGAGCAACGCCGCGUGAGUGAUGAAGGUCUUCGGAUCGUAAAACUCUGUUAUUAGGGAAGAACAAAUGUGGAAGUAACUAUGCACGUCUUGACGGUACCUAAUCAGAAAGCCACGGCUAACUACGUG
rnacentral:rRNA from 1 species